CUGACUCAGAGAACUGUUCUGUAUUUUUAUUUCCUAAAUAGCAACGGUCUAGAAUCCUUUCCAUCAAGUCAGCCCUUAUACUUUCCCACAUUUGCAUAAAAAUUGAACAUGCUCACCAGAUAAAAGCAUAUCUGUUAAAGAAUUUAAUUUCUCUUUACCAUUCUUCUGUUUUAUGUCAUAUACCCUAAAGAUACUGCCUGGAUGCCACUAAAUGCUACUGCAGAAGCCUCUUUGUUCUCCAAUUUGAAGAAUGUUGCAUGAGGGACAUUUGAUUCUAUUACAUUUUAUUUUGCUGUAAGAAGGACUGAAAAUCCCUUGAGACCAAGCGUGAGAUAUAUACCCAACCUCAUCACAAGAAGCUUCUCUGGGGAACCAGCUCAUUACCUGAGACAGCCAAGAAGUCAUCAAUGGAAGUAAUGUCAUCGACAGCAUCUGUGAGAACACGGACUUGUUUUUCCCACUGUUCUUUAAAAA